CUCACCUUAAGCACUAGGGGUCACAUAAGAGCGGGUAGACUCAAAUCAAGCAGACAAUACACAUCAUGAGAGAAAAGUUGAGCAUACCAAUCACAAUUUUGGGGGGACGCCUCGGAAUCCUGGUGGGUGGCAAGAGGAUACAGAUGAUUUUGACCAGUGUCGGAUCCAGAAGUAGAAGUUGCACCCUUUGGUGUAGGAUUUAAUGAAGCAACAACAUAGAUCUUAUUGCCCCAGAAGCAACCCUGGAAGUACAAUCCCUCUGCAUAUGACCAAUCUAACCUCAUUUAAAGCACUUGUUUCUCCCCUCUUCACAAAUUCCAUGGUGCACCUAACCCUAAAAUCUACCUGGGGG
rnacentral:lncRNA from 1 species